rnacentral:lncRNA from 1 species
AUCUUAUCAAAUUCGAUUCUAUAUUUUUAUUGAACUGUGUUAAUUCUUCUAUCUGUUGAACUUCAUUAAGUUUAACCUUAGUGGCAUCAGUUCCUUCACCAAAGAAUUCUUUUUUCAAAAAGUAUGCCUUCAAACCCACGAACACUUUUUGUUCAUUAGGAAGGAAGAAGUAAUAUCCCCUAGCUUCGUUAAGAUAUCCUACAAAAUAACACUUAUC